CAUUUGAGGCCUGAUUUUUUCAGAUGCCUGAACAUCCACGGUGCCCACUGUGGGGGAUCUUGGGAAACUGCGUAGACAAAGAUAUUUGCAUGAGAAGCGGUAGAGUAGGCGCAGCGGAAGAUCACGCGGUGUGACGCGCAGACGAGGGGUGGGAACGAAAUGCACCUGUAUGUAGGCUUGAGUGUAGCUCACAAUAAACGCCAUUUUAGCAUCUCUCACAUUGAGGUCUGUGCUUUGUGGCCCUGCAGCGGGAAGCUUCAGUGCUCCCCUGGUGGCGCCAUGGGACCGAGCUAGAGCGCGGCAAGAAGUGGUGACCCGACGUGACUCGGCAGGACCGACACGUCUCGCCGUGAGACCCGGGGGGUGCGGGCCGUCUCCAGAGGGAGAGCGGCGGCUGCAACGGCGAGCAGCGGGCGAUAGCCGAGAGUCCGGCCGGACGACAUGGAGGCCUUCAUAAAGGUAGUUGCGUUACUAGCUAAGGAAUGGGGAGCUUCUGUGAAGCCGAAGGAUAUUACACUAUGUGUAGAGCGGCUCCAGAAAGAAGGAGCCAUAGAUAGGCCGGGGGACUGCUUGCAGCCRGAAUUCUGGYCGCAAUGCACUACGGUGCUGGCGGAGCGAGCUAUGUCCACAAACWCGGCCAAAGAUCUCAAGACGUGGGGARUUAUACUCCGUUUUCUGAAGUGGUCGCGGGAAGAAAUGGAGACUUGGAAGGCCGCCCGCGACGCGUUGUUUCAUCAGGAGGAGGCUGAGACGGAAACGGAGGAGAAGUCUAGCGAUGGGGGGGCGAAAGAGCCGGGGGAGAGCGGGGGCGGGGAGGCCCCGGCGAAAGAACGGGAGAGCGGGGGCGGGGAGGUCCCAGUGAUCCUACCGGUGGAAUCCCAGGAACCGCCCCCGGGGUACCCCUGGCAAGAUCUCGCACAAGACGGAGAGGGCUGGGGGGUCGACGGGACCGACCCCGAGGAUUGCGUGCCUGGCGCAGUUCUGAGGAAGGCGCUUAGUGAGGAAGAUAGGACCCUGCUGCCGUGGGCCCCGGCAGAGGAGGGGGCUGUAGGCGGGGAGAGUCAGGCGGUGCAGCGAGGGAGGAAGGGUAACGGCCAAUCGGAGCGGAGAGACCAGAGUUCGACCUUGAGAGGAGGGAGGAAGGUUCGGGUGAGAUCGCAGGUUAAGGAGGAGAGCGGAGAAGACAGUGACGAGGAAGGCGGGGGCUUGCGGGAGGUUACCUGCAGGCUGCAGGGAUGUGUAUUAGGAGAAACGCCUCCGAAAGGGAGGCCGAAGGGCGGAGAGGAAGCAACAACAUCCCCGGUCGACACCCUAUUGCGUGCAUUAGAGGAAAUAAGGCGGGAGGUCGAGAAACAGAGGGACCUGCUCAGCGGAGCUAAGAGGGAAGCGGCCCCUGCCAAGUCCAUACCGCUCACUGACUGGCGGCUAAUAGCCGAUUCGUGUGCCCUUCAGGGCCUACGGUUCGAGCAAGCGCCGCAAGUCUGCCCCGUAAGGGCAGUGCCGGGGGAAGGGGUCCAGUGCGUGGCGCUCGAGCCCAAGAUAGUACAGGGACUGAUGACCUCGGUGAAGGAGAAUGGGCUGAAACACCAGCAAACUCAGAUGCUGUUGGAUAGUGUGCAUGCCCAGGCGUGCACGCCUUACGACCUACGGCAGCUGGCGAGGGCGAUACUGUCGCCCAUGCAUUGGAUGCUGUGGAAGGAGGCAUGGCAGGGCCGUUGUGCCGCCCUCGCUGCAGCUGCCGCCGGGGACCCGAACCACCCCCUAGCAGGUACCACGCUGGAUCGCUUGGUGGGGCGGGGUGCAAACCUCGCAUCCCCAAACCAGCAAGCGGCAACUCUCAGAGCCUGGGAGGUCAUGGCCACAACAGAGGCUUCGCGGGCCGCGUAUGAGGAUCUCGGGAAGCUAGUAAAGGUAGAGCCACCCUGGACAAAGAUAAAACAGACACACGCAGAGAGCUUCACUGAAUUCUGUGACAGGCUCCAACGGGCCAUUGCAGAGUCAGACUUGCCCCCUGAGGCCCAGGGUCCGGUCAUGAUGGAGUGCCUCUGGCAGCAGAGUAACGCCGUGACGCAGGACAUCAUGAAAACGAUCCCUAAAGGAACACCACUUUCGGUUGUCAUCCGCACGGUACUGGAAAAACAGAACCAGGGAACAGCGGCAGCGCAGGCCCUUGUCGCGGCGGCGGACCAGAUGAGAAAGGGACCACAGCGAUGCUUCUCUUGUGGCAGAUUAGGGCAUAUCAGCGCACACUGUCAGCGGCAGGGCCGGCCG
ensembl:lncRNA